AGUGAACGCUGGCGGUAGGCCUAACACAUGCAAGUCGAACGGCAGCACAGUAAGAGCUUGCUCUUACGGGUGGCGAGUGGCGGACGGGUGAGGAAUACAUCGGAAUCUACUUUUUCGUGGGGGAUAACGUAGGGAAACUUACGCUAAUACCGCAUACGACCUACGGGUGAAAGCAGGGGAUCUUCGGACCUUGCGCGAUUGAAUGAGCCGAUGUCGGAUUAGCUCGUUGGCGGGGUAAAGGCCCACCAAGGCGACGAUCCGGAGCUGGUCUGAGAGGAUGAUCAGCCACACUGGAACUGAGACACGGUCCAGACUCCUACGGGAGGCAGCAGUGGGGAAUAUUGGACAAUGGGCGCAAGCCUGAUCCAGCCAUACCGCGUGGGUGAAGAAGGCCUUCGGGUUGUAAAGCCCUUUUGUUGGGAAAGAAAAGCAGCAGGUUAAUACCCCGCUGUUCUGACGGUACCCAAAGAAUAAGCACCGGCUAACUUCGUG
rnacentral:rRNA from 1 species